AGAGCAUGGCGAACGUGGCUAAACAUGAACGUCGUUCUGUGGUUUCUCUGAGGCAAAGAAAGCUGCUAAGUCAACGUCAAAGUCAACGCAUGGAACAUCGUCAUAUUCCUUCGUGGCAGUAAGUACAGGGCUUGAACAGCAGGACGUGGAGUCAAUGUUAGCUAAUGUUGCUUUACAAGAACAAGAAUGAUGGCCGCAAUCAGGAGCAACUUCAACUUCGAAGAAGUGGAUAGUUUAUUUCGUUACGAGUCUUCUCAAGUUGAGAGCUGAAGAAUUGAGCUAAAGAGAACUCUACAGUUGAAGUAAAGUCUGUGAAGAUGGAGCCUGUUCUUUAUAAGUACUUGAAGAGGCUGAGCACAAACUCUCAGUUGCAGAUUUUGUCCUAUCAGUUGAAUCGCAGUGGAGAUGAGAGGAGUGCUGCAUCUUUUAACAAUUCUUGCUUCUGAUGUUCAAUCCACAGUAUGGGUAGAGUGGUAUUAAAGGAACGUUUGGGCCAAACUGGCACAAAAACACUUUGGAUGUCAACAUCAGCAGCAGCUCAAGAUCCCUUCAGAGAACAUGAUUAUACAUGAACGACAAUUGGUUCUCAAAGAAACGUAUCACAUGUGGAACGGAUCGUUUUAGAUGCCAUGUACUUGGCUGAGGAUAACACAAUGCCAUAAAGCUGGAAAAAGAUAUCGUCAUACGCAUGGACAGACAGACAACAGGAUAAUGUUUUCUCAAAUCACAGGAAAAUAUCAAGCUUGGGAUAAGAGAAGCUGGAAUGGAAAAAAGGACAACUUCAGGAAUGACGCUUUUCAAUAAGGUUUCUGGAUGCUUUUGACGUUCAUUGCAAAACCAAAAGAAGAAAUCAGCCCAGUGGAAUUCAAGAUAAACACAAGUUUACUCAGAGGUAGAAAACAAACUAAACCAAGAGUUUACUUCAAGACUAAGUCGAAAGAAUCGCAGGGAAAAUUUGUCACCCAGUAUCAAGAUAGGACUGUUAUCAGAGCGAAUUAGUUUCUGCCAUUUUGAGCUGUUUGUGAAAUCAUAGCUUCGACUGAAAUUUAUCACUGGAAUAACACAAAUUUUCUAAAUAUAUUUAAUGUUGAAUUUUUUGUGUUAGUUUUUUCCUAAGUAACAUCGGUUUGAACGGUUUCAAUUUUCCCGCCAAAAGACUUAGAAAAAUA